rnacentral:lncRNA from 1 species
AGCAUUGGCUCCUAAAUGUUGGGGUUUGGAGAUGGCCUUGUGUCUCUCCCCCUGUAGUGGGCUCCCUGCCACCCCCCACGCCCCCCCCCCCCCCCAAUAUCUUCUCUGGCAUUCAGAUUAGAAGUUUCCAGGUUGGUUUGUGUGUUAUGUUUUGGGUUUUGCUGUUGGGUGUUUUUUUUUUUCUCCAUAAAAAGCAAUAAAAAUGGUUUGGGUUGGAGGAGGGGACGGAUGGGCUGGUGGGAUUUUUAGUUUUCCUUUGACAAAAGACUGGUUUCUUUUCAAACUUGUCCAGAAAGGAAAAAAAAAAAAAAAAAAAAAAAAGGGGGGAUUUGAGAAAUGGUUCAGAGGUUUCCCAUGUAGAAAAGAACACUGACUCUCACAUUUUUUCUUCCCUGAUUUAGUCUAAAUAGUGCUGCUCAUAGAUGUAUUUGUGUUUAGCUGGCAUCUAAUCUGAAGAAGUUUCGCCAAGCCAAUCAUAGGGCAAAUGACCCCACUGAACACAGACAAAUGUCCAGGUUCUCUGUUCACCCUCCUAACACUUAGAGGGGGAGGGAUGGGAAAACCCAAGCAGGGACUAACCCACUGGACUGAGUGGUUUGAGAAGCCCAAGGACCCAGUGUUAAUUCUGACCUGAAGACACAUGUCCCCACCUCUCAGCUUUGCUUAAUUGGGUUACAGGAAUUAGUCUUGAGAACAGAGAAAAGGCAAGAAACCACAUUCUCCUCACUCUUAAGCCUCUAAAGAAGAGGUCAAGUGAGGUCGCCCCUGCUUGACCUGAUGAGGAUGGCCAAGCAAGGAAAAUGGCUUUUUGGGAGAUGUCAUAAGGCAGGCCAGCAAAGGGCAGGCAGGAAGAGAGAGGGAAAGUCAGACCAGGGACAGCUGGGGAGGAUGCCCCAAGGUGGUGCCUGGCACAGAGGAGGCCUCUGCUAAUUAUUUUACAGAUUGCAUGAAUCAGCCCCAGAGGUCAGGGGGCACUCAUUUUAGGAGAAAUGCAACUAAAAUGGCAGCAAGAAACCACCUUUCACCUAUUGGAUAGGCAAAGAUCAGGAGGCUUGGUAAGAUUCUGUGUCAGUGAGGGUGUAGGAAACAUCCCCUCCAAUGCCCUGCUGAUGCAGCCAUAAGUGGAUAGCUUCAGUGCAAGGCAAUUUAGUAGUAUGGAUCAACAUUACAAAUGUGUGUAAUUUGCAGGCAAGCAAUCUCACUUCUGGGAAUUUAUCAAGCAGAUAUGCACAUGUGCAAAGUGACCUAUAUACAGUGUAUUUAUUUGCAGCUUUGCUUGUAAGGUACGACUAGAAAAUAAAAUAAUCGGGGCUGGUAAAAUUGAUUAUGGCUUAUCCUCAAUUAAACACAGGUAUUAUGAAUUAUGACAUGGACUGAUCUGUAAGAUCAAUUGUCCAAAAAAACUACAGGAAAAAUUGCGUGUAUAGUAC